rnacentral:tRNA from 1 species
GAACUGUUAGCUCAGUUGGUUCAGAGCGCUGCCUUGACAGGGCAGAGGUCGUCGGUUCGAACCCGUCACAGUUCA